rnacentral:rRNA from 1 species
AACGAACGCUGGCGGCAGGCCUAACACAUGCAAGUCGAGCGGACCCUUCGGGGUUAGCGGCGGACGGGUGAGUAACGCGUGGGAAUAUGCCCUUCUCUACGGAAUAGUCCUGGGAAACUGGGGGUAAUACCGUAUACGCCCUUUGGGGGAAAGAUUUAUCGGGGAAGGAUUAGCCCGCGUUGGAUUAGGUAGUUGGUGGGGUAAUGGCCUACCAAGCCGACGAUCCAUAGCUGGGUUGAGAGGAUGAUCAGCCACACUGGGACUGAGACACGGCCCAGACUCCUACGGGAGGCAGCAGUGGGGAAUCUUAGACAAUGGGGGCAACCCUGAUCUAGCCAUGCCGCGUGAGUGAUGAAGGCCUUAGGGUUGUAAAGCUCUUUCAGCUGGGAAGAUAAUGACGGUACCAGCAGAAGAAGCCCCGGCUAACUCCGUG